rnacentral:rRNA from 1 species
UACGAAGGGGGCUAGCGUUGUUCGGAAUUACUGGGCGUAAAGCGCACGUAGGCGGACUAUUAAGUCAGGGGUGAAAUCCCGGGGCUCAACCCCGGAACUGCCUUUGAUACUGGUAGUCUCGAGUCCGGAAGAGGUGAGUGGAAUUCCGAGUGUAGAGGCGAAAUUCGUAGAUAUUCGGAGGAACACCAGUGGCGAAGGCGGCUCACUGGUCCGGUACUGACGCUGAGGUGCUAAAGCGUGGGGAGCAAACAGG